GGGUUGUGAGGUUAAGCGACUAAGCGUACACGGUGGAUGCCCUGGCAGUCAGAGGCGAUGAAGGACGUGCUAAUCUGCGAUAAGCGUCGGUAAGGUGAUAUGAACCGUUAUAACCGGCGAUUUCCGAAUGGGGAAACCCAGUGUGAUUCGUCACACUAUCAUUAACUGAAUCCAUAGGUUAAUGAGGCGAACCGGGGGAACUGAAACAUCUAAGUACCCCGAGGAAAAGAAAUCAACCGAGAUUCCCCCAGUAGCGGCGAGCGAACGGGGAGGAGCCCAGAGCCUGAAUCAGUGUGUGUGUUAGUGGAAGCGUCUGGAAAGGCGCGCGAUACAGGGUGACAGCCCCGUACACAAAAAUGCACAUGCUGUGAGCUCGAUGAGUAGGGCGGGACACGUGGUAUCCUGUCUGAAUAUGGGGGGACCAUCCUCCAAGGCUAAAUACUCCUGACUGACCGAUAGUGAACCAGUACCGUGAGGGAAAGGCGAAAAGAACCCCGGCGAGGGGAGUGAAAAAGAACCUGAAACCGUGUACGUACAAGCAGUGGGAGCACGCUUAGGCGUGUGACUGCGUACCUUUUGUAUAAUGGGUCAGCGACUUAUAUUCUGUAGCAAGGUUAACCGAAUAGGGGAGCCGAAGGGAAACCGAGUCUUAACUGGGCGUUAAGUUGCAGGGUAUAGACCCGAAACCCGGUGAUCUAGCCAUGGGCAGGUUGAAGGUUGGGUAACACUAACUGGAGGACCGAACCGACUAAUGUUGAAAAAUUAGCGGAUGACUUGUGGCUGGGGGUGAAAGGCCAAUCAAACCGGGAGAUAGCUGGUUCUCCCCGAAAGCUAUUUAGGUAGCGCCUCGUGAAUUCAUCUCCGGGGGUAGAGCACUGUUUCGGCAAGGGGGUCAUCCCGACUUACCAACCCGAUGCAAACUGCGAAUACCGGAGAAUGUUAUCACGGGAGACACACGGCGGGUGCUAACGUCCGUCGUGAAGAGGGAAACAACCCAGACCGCCAGCUAAGGUCCCAAAGUCAUGGUUAAGUGGGAAACGAUGUGGGAAGGCCCAGACAGCCAAUGUUGGCUUAGAAGCAGCCAUCAUUUAAAGAAAGCGUAAUAGCUCACUGGUCGAGUCGGCCUGCGCGGAAGAUGUAACGGGGCUAAACCAUGCACCGAAGCUGCGGCAGCGACGCUGAUGCGUUGUUGGGUAGGGGAGCGUUCUGUAAGCCUGCGAAGGUGUGCUGUGAGGCAUGCUGGAGGUAUCAGAAGUGCGAAUGCUGACAUAAGUAACGAUAAAGCGGGUGAAAAGCCCGCUCGCCGGAAGACCAAGGGUUCCUGUCCAACGUUAAUCGGGGCAGGGUGAGUCGACCCCUAAGGCGAGGCCGAAAGGCGUAGUCGAUGGGAAACAGGUUAAUAUUCCUGUACUUGGUGUUACUGCGAAGGGGGGACGGAGAAGGCUAUGUUGGCCGGGCGACGGUUGUCCCGGUUUAAGCGUGUAGGCUGGUUUUCCAGGCAAAUCCGGAAAAUCAAGGCUGAGGCGUGAUGACGAGGCACUACGGUGCUGAAGCAACAAAUGCCCUGCUUCCAGGAAAAGCCUCUAAGCAUCAGGUAACAUCAAAUCGUACCCCAAACCGACACAGGUGGUCAGGUAGAGAAUACCAAGGCGCUUGAGAGAACUCGGGUGAAGGAACUAGGCAAAAUGGUGCCGUAACUUCGGGAGAAGGCACGCUGAUAUGUAGGUGAAGUCCCUCGCGGAUGGAGCUGAAAUCAGUCGAAGAUACCAGCUGGCUGCAACUGUUUAUUAAAAACACAGCACUGUGCAAACACGAAAGUGGACGUAUACGGUGUGACGCCUGCCCGGUGCCGGAAGGUUAAUUGAUGGGGUUAGCGCAAGCGAAGCUCUUGAUCGAAGCCCCGGUAAACGGCGGCCGUAACUAUAACGGUCCUAAGGUAGCGAAAUUCCUUGUCGGGUAAGUUCCGACCUGCACGAAUGGCGUAAUGAUGGCCAGGCUGUCUCCACCCGAGACUCAGUGAAAUUGAACUCGCUGUGAAGAUGCAGUGUACCCGCGGCAAGACGGAAAGACCCCGUGAACCUUUACUAUAGCUUGACACUGAACAUUGAGCCUUGAUGUGUAGGAUAGGUGGGAGGCUUUGAAGUGUGGACGCCAGUCUGCAUGGAGCCGACCUUGAAAUACCACCCUUUAAUGUUUGAUGUUCUAACGUGGACCCGUAAUCCGGGUUGCGGACAGUGUCUGGUGGGUAGUUUGACUGGGGCGGUCUCCUCCUAAAGAGUAACGGAGGAGCACGAAGGUUGGCUAAUCCUGGUCGGACAUCAGGAGGUUAGUGCAAUGGCAUAAGCCAGCUUGACUGCGAGCGUGACGGCGCGAGCAGGUGCGAAAGCAGGUCAUAGUGAUCCGGUGGUUCUGAAUGGAAGGGCCAUCGCUCAACGGAUAAAAGGUACUCCGGGGAUAACAGGCUGAUACCGCCCAAGAGUUCAUAUCGACGGCGGUGUUUGGCACCUCGAUGUCGGCUCAUCACAUCCUGGGGCUGAAGUAGGUCCCAAGGGUAUGGCUGUUCGCCAUUUAAAGUGGUACGCGAGCUGGGUUUAGAACGUCGUGAGACAGUUCGGUCCCUAUCUGCCGUGGGCGCUGGAGAACUGAGGGGGGCUGCUCCUAGUACGAGAGGACCGGAGUGGACGCAUCACUGGUGUUCGGGUUGUCAUGCCAAUGGCACUGCCCGGUAGCUAAAUGCGGAAGAGAUAAGUGCUGAAAGCAUCUAAGCACGAAACUUGCCCCGAGAUGAGUUCUCCCUGACUCCUUGAGAGUCCUGAAGGAACGUUGAAGACGACGACGUUGAUAGGCCGGGUGUGUAAGCGCAGCGAUGCGUUGAGCUAACCGGUACUAAUGAACCGUGAGGCUUAACCUUACAACGCCGAAGCUGUU
rnacentral:rRNA from 1 species